CCCUUAGAUGUUCUGGGCUGCACACGUGCUACACUGGCAGGUUCAGCGAGCUUCAUGCCCUGAUCUGAAAGGAAUGGGAAAUCUUUUCAAAACCUGCCGUGCUUGGGAUAGAUGUUUGCAAUUAUUCAUCUUCAACGAGGAUUGCCUUGUAAGCGCACGUCAUCAGCGUGCAUUGAAUACGACCCUGUAUUCUGUACACACCGCCCGUCGCUCCUACCGAUUGAAGUUUUCGGCGAGUUGACAGGAGGAUUUUUUUGAAACUGGUUCGCCGGUGGAUUUUAGAUCCAAAUGCCAACGAAUCGAUGGCUUUAGAGGAAGGAGAAGUCGUAACA
rnacentral:rRNA from 1 species